AUUUGAGAUGUAUGCAUCUCCGCCAUACUUAAGUGCUAUUGGAAAUGCUGGAACCAGCUUGGCAGUCUUGUGAUGGUCUAGAAAAAAGCAGGUCAAAGUGUGUUUCUUGUUUUCCACCGUAUCCUUCUUUAUAAUAAAAGUAUUGCUCAAGCAAUAAAAUACGUUAAGGGUUUACAUUUUCUUUGUUUUCCAGUACUAACCUGUGCCCUGUUCUCUUUGUCCACUCCUUCCAGAUAACUAGCCUUGGUUAGUUGAUGCCAUUGGGCUACGAUUAGAGCAAAGCUAAGAAACCCUAGCAGACACCAUAAAAAGAUUUCCAGCCUCGGUACACCACGCCUCACCGAACUAAAGUCUAAUUCCGAGAAUUACAAAAUCGCCAGUAAGACACUGCGGCCUGCAACACAAAGAGCAAGCGGAAUUCCUUACAGCAUAGCUAAUGGAGUGCACACAGACACUGUGAUGAACUGGCCAGCAGACAUCUUUUACGAGCUCUGAGAGCCUGUGCAGCAUGCCACACCGCUGAUCAGAGGAAGGAUGUUCACACUUUUUCUAUUUCUGUAAGGUUACAACCCAGUGAUACUAGGGUC
rnacentral:lncRNA from 1 species